UACAGAGGUCUCAAGCGUUGUUCGGAUUUAUUGGGCGUAAAGGGCGCGUAGGCGGCGGGGUAAGUCGGGUGUGAAAUCUCAGGGCUCAACCCUGAAACUGCACUUGAUACUGCUCUGCUUGAGGACUGGAGAGGAGACUGGAAUUCACGGUGUAGCAGUGAAAUGCGUAGAUAUCGUGAGGAAGACCAGUGGCGAAGGCGGGUCUCUGGACAGUUCCUGACGCUGAGGCGCGAAGGCCAGGGGAGCAAAACGGGG
rnacentral:rRNA from 1 species